AUUGAACGCUGGCGGCAUGCCUUACACAUGCAAGUCGAACGGUAACAGGUCUUCGGUUGCUGACGAGUGGCGAACGGGGGAGUAAUACAUCGGAACGUGCCCGAUCGCGGGGGAUAACGGAGCGAAAGCUUUGCUAAUACCGCAUACGAUCUACGGAUGAAAGCCGGGGGCCGCAAGGCCUUGCGCGGGCGGAGCGGCCGAUGGCAGAUUGGGUAGUUGGUGGGUUAAAAGCUUACCAAGCCGACGAUCUGUAGCUGGUCUGAGAGGAGGACCGGCCACACUGGAACUGAGACACGGCCCAGACUCCUACGGGAGGCAGCAGUGGGGAAUUUUGGACAAUGGGCGAAAGCCUGAUCCAGCCAUGCCGCGUGCAGGAUGAAGGCCUUCGGGUUGUAAACUGCUUUUGUACGGAACGAAAAGACUCUUUCUAAUAAAGAGGGUCCAUGACGGUACCGUAAGAAUAAGCACCGGCUAACUACGUG
rnacentral:rRNA from 1 species